AACCAUAGAAACCUGCGGAGUACCUGCGGAGGGAUCAUCAUUGAAAAAAAAAACUUUAAUUAACUAAUUAUUUUUUUUUGUUUGAAAGUGGAAAAAAAGUUAUUUUUUCCUUUUCAAAUUUUUUUAUGUCUGAUUUUUUAAACAAGAGAGAAAGAAAAAAAAAGGAGGAAAAAGGAGUUAUAUAAUUUCAAUUUUUUUUAUAGCUAAUAGGAAAUAUACGUAUUUUUCCUGAGUGGAACC
rnacentral:misc_RNA from 1 species